rnacentral:rRNA from 1 species
GGAUCAUUACACAACAAAAUAUGAAGGCCUGGCUUCGCGGCCGGCUGAAAUAUUUUUUUCACCCAUGUCUUUUGCGCACUUGUUGUUUCCUGGGCGGGUUCGCCCGCCACCAGGACCAAACCAUAAACCUUUUUUUUAUGCAGUUGCAAUCAGCGUCAGUAAAAACAAUGUAAUUAUUACAACUUUCAACAACGGAUCUCUUGGUUCUGGCAUCGAUGAAGAACGCAGCGAAAUGCGAUACGUAGUGUGAAUUGCAGAAUUCAGUGAAUCAUCGAAUCUUUGAACGCACAUUGCGCCCUUUGGUAUUCCAAAGGGCAUGCCUGUUCGAGCGUCAUUUGUACCUUCAAGCUUUGCUUGGUGUUGGGCGUUUUUUGUCUCCCUCUUUCUGGGAGACUCGCCUUAAAACGAUUGGCAGCCGGCCUACUGGUUUCGGAGCGCAGCACAUAUUUUGCGCUUUGUAUCAGGAGAAAAGGACGGUAAUCCAUCAAGACUCUACAUUUUUAACUUUUGACCUCGGAUCAGGUAGGGAUACCCGCUGAACUUAAGCAUAUCAAUAAGCGGAGAAA